AUAAAAUGUGAAUAAUAUAACUAAUUAUAAAAGUUUUAUAAUAAAUUAGUUCAAGAAAUAUAAUUCAGUGGUUAAAAAGUGAAAGCUGUGAAAUAAUCUCAAUGCAAUAAAUGAGAGUGAACUGUGAAGAUAAAGUGUGUAUAAAAUUAUGUCAAAUGCAAGUUUUCUGGUGGCUUAUUGAAAAUUCAGUUGUAAAAGGAGUAAAUAUAGUGUAAUAGUGAAAUGUAAUAAAUGCAAUAUGUGUAUGUGAAGUGUUGUGCAAAUUCUACGUUUAUUUGUGAGGAGUAAAUACAGUUGUUUGUGCAUAAAAAUAAGUUCAUUUCCACUUCUUGCCGCAAAGUGCUGUUGAAGUGAAAAAAUAAAUCUUUACAAAAGUAAACUUAAAGUUUAAUCUUAAUUUAGUGUGUUUUUGUGUUAAUGAAAUUAAAAAAUUUGUAAAAUGGAGCUGAAUUCUAAACAAAGAAAUCCUCCAAUCUGGCCGCGCCCAUUCAAAGACCAGAUCAUCCAGCACUCAGCGAUAACAUCAAAGAACAGGUUUCGAUUACAAAUAUAAAGAAGUCAUUCUCAAAGAUUGUUAGUUGAAUAUAACAAAAUAACCAGACACCAACUAUGCAAUUGUGGGACUGAACAACAUACACAAAAUAUAAUAAAUCUUCGAUUAAUGAUAAAA
rnacentral:misc_RNA from 1 species